GAUGAACGCUAGCGACAGGCUUAACACAUGCAAGUCGAGGGGCAGCGAGGGCGUAGCAAUACGCCUGUCGGCGACCGGCGCACUGGUGAGUAACACGUAUGCAACCUGCCCCCUACAGGGGUAUAACCCGUAGAAAUGCGGACUAAUCCCCCAUAGUCCUGGGUGCUGCAUGGCAUUCAGGGGAAAGGUCAGCCGGUAGGGGAUGGGCAUGCGGCGCAUUAGCUAGUUGGCGGGGCUAACGGCCCACCAAGGCGACGAUGCGUAGGGGUUCUGAGAGGAAAGGUCCCCCCACAUUGGAACUGAGACACGGUCCAAAACUCCUACGGGAGGCAGCAGUGAGGAAUAUUGGUCCAAAUGGACGAGAGUCUGAACCAGCCAAGUAGCGUGCAGGAUGACGGCCCUAUGGGUUGUAAACUGCUUUUAUAGGGGGAUAAAAGUGUGCCACGUGUGGCAUAUUGCAGGUACCCUAUGAAUAGGACCGGCUAAUUCCGUGCCAGCAG
rnacentral:rRNA from 1 species